AGAUUGAACGCUGGCGGCAUGCCUUACACAUGCAAGUCGAACGGCAGCGCGGGGCAACCUGGCGGCGAGUGGCGAACGGGUGAGUAAUAUAUCGGAACGUACCCUGGAGUGGGGGAUAACGUAGCGAAAGUUACGCUAAUACCGCAUACGAUCUAAGGAUGAAAGUGGGGGAUUCGCAAGAACCUCAUGCUCCUGGAGCGGCCGAUAUCUGAUUAGCUAGUUGGGUAGGGGUAAAGGCCCACCAAGGCAUCGAUCAGUAGCUGUCUGAGAGGACCGACAGCCACACUGGAACUGAGACACGGUCCAGACUCCGUACGGGAGCAGCGAGGUGGGUAAUUUUGGACAAGUGGGACGAAACGCCUUAGACUCCAG
rnacentral:rRNA from 1 species